rnacentral:rRNA from 1 species
AUACGGAGGGUCCAAGCGUUAUCCGGAAUCAUUGGGUUUAAAGGGUCCGCAGGCGGUCAAUUAAGUCAGAGGUGAAAGCCCGUCGCUCAACGAUGGAACUGCCUUUGAUACUGGUUGACUUGAGUUAUACGGAAGUAGAUAGAAUAAGUAGUGUAGCGGUGAAAUGCAUAGAUAUUACUUAGAAUACCGAUUGCGAAGGCAGUCUACUACGUAUAUACUGACGCUGAGGGACGAAAGCGUGGGGAGCGAACAGGAUUAGAAACCCUAGUAGUCC